AAGGAGGCCGCCGGGGCGCGCGAGGAGGCGGGGAAACCUGCUCGGCCCGCGCCCGGCCGCUCCCCCGCGGGCUGCAGGUGGAGCCGCGGAGGUAGCCGCUUCCGCCGCCGCCGCCUCCUCCGCCUCCUCCCCCCUGGGGCCUCCUCCCAGGCCCGGAGGCUGCUGGCGCGGGACGCCCGGAGCUGACGGCCGGCGCGCGGGGCCCGCGGCUCGUCGAUGGCUGAAGGCCGGCGGCGGGAGGACGAGGACGAAGAGCUGCACGAGCGCCGGGAGCUCGGGGGCCCGCGCCGCGCCCGGGGCCGUGCGCUGUCGGGCCACUCGGCCGCAGAUCGAAACGAACGAAAUAAACCAGAGCAUCGUUCUUCAAGCCAAGGACCCUUGUCAUCCAUUAGAGCAGUAAUCAAGAGAUCUUCUCGGACUUCUAUUCAGAGUGAGCUUCAUCGAGAUAGGAGGCGCCCAGAGAUCACCAUUGUGGCAGCUGAGCCACUGAGGCCGACCUCGUGGUUUCCAGGAGCCCCACCCCCAGGACUGGCAUUUCCCCCAUCUUCCACAGCAGGCCCUUGGAGGCCCAGUGAGCUGGUUCCUGCCGAGCUCCCACCAUCGUAUGAACAAGUCAUAAAAGAAAUCAACCAAGUUCAAGUUAACACUACAAAUAACAAUAAUGCUGCUGCCACUCCAAGGCACACUAUUACUUCAGCAACUCAGACUGACUUUUCAGAAGAAAUAGACAACCAUCUGCCUCAAAGUAAUGCAACACUGCCGGCACCUCUGAAACCUCUCCUGCCUUCCCCAGCAGCCUCAGUCAGCGAUCCUCCGACAGACGAGACGCCUUUAAUAGUCUUUGAUAUUUCUGAAGAACAGAGUUGUCCAGAAAACUCCAGUGCUACAAGAUGUCCAGUGCCCAAACCAAGAUCAAAAAGCAACCUCAGACCAGUGGCCAGAGAGCCUCACGUUAAAGAGCCGGAUCCCCAGAAAAGCAGCCCAGCGGCUACGCCAGAGGAGGCAACCCCGAGCCGGCCCCAGCCUCUGUGGGACGAUACCGGCCACUCGGACAGUCAGGCAGUGAUGAACAUUAUGAACGCAGAACGGAGCCCAAAUACCGUCGUUUCCAGGAUCAAAGCACUUGAGGGUCAGACAAAUGCGGAAAGCGUGGGACUGCCCAAGAAGCCAGAAAUUGCCCCCCGCACAGUCCCCCCGAGGCCUGCUCCUGCCUCAGGGAAACCCUCCGUGGCUCCCAAACCGGCAGCUGACAGAGCCUCUGGAGGCUGGGACUCCUGGACCACAAACAGACUCCGGGGGGCCUCUAGGGAAGGCCUCACCCCACACUCUCCACUGCAAGAAGCAGGGAGCGUCCCUGCAACCAAACCCGAAUUGCCAAAGAAACCGAAUCCUGGCCUCAUACGAAGUGUUAAUCCCGAGAGUCUGGGAGGAGGGUCCAUGGCCGAGAGCCCCGCCAGUGGGAAGAAAGCCCCGACUCCGGCUCCUCGGCCUUUGCUGCCCAAGAAAUCAGCUUCUGCAGGAGUGGCCCCCUCCCCUGCGGCCUCAGAAGCGCCCCCCUACCCUGCGGCUUUGCUGAAACCCAUCACUGUGCCUCCCCGACUCUCCGUGGCGUCACAAGCCAAAGCGUUCAGGUCCCUGGGAGAAGGACCCCCGGCCAGCCCCCCAGUCCCGGUUCUGCAAAGCAAGCCUCCGGGGGACAUCGACCUCAUCAGCUUUGACGAUGAGGUUUUACCCGCCCCAUCUGGGAACCUGGCUGAAGACUCUAUUGAUUCAGAGAUGGUUCUGGAUCCCUUUCAGCUCCCCACAAGAACAGAACCAGCAAAGGAACGAGCAGUUCAACCAGCACCCACCAGGAAGCCCACUGUGAUUCGAAUUCCAGCCAAACCAGGAAAAUGUUCACAUGAGGAGGAUCCACAAAGCCCACCUCCUCUCCCUACUGAAAAACCCAUUGGAAACACCUUCAGCACAGUAUCCGGAAAACUUGGUAAUGCUAACAGAACUAGAAACUUGGAAUCUGACCAUGCUGGUCAGUCAGGAGGUUCUGUGCGAGGACCCCCAAGGUUGCCACCGAGACCUGUGAAUGGAAAAGGCGUACUAGCUCGACAGCCUCCUCCCAAGGGGGCCCCUGAGAGACCACCUCCCCCAAAACUUCCUGCAACCAGAGCAGCAGAUAAAAAGCUGCCUUUUAAUCGGUCUUCUUCUGACAUGGAUCUUCAGAAAAAAACAAGUAACCUGGCGUCUGGACUCUCAAAAGCCAAGAGUCAAGUCCUUAAAAAUCAAGAUCCGGUGCUGCCCCCUCGCCCCAAACCAGGACACCCUCUCUACAGGAAAUACAUGCUGUCUGUGCCUCACGGAAUUGCCAGUGAAGACAUUGUCCCGCAAAACCCUGGAGAACUUUCUUGUAAGCGUGGGGACGUCCUUGUGAUACUGAAGCAGGUGGAAGGUAAUUACUUGGAGUGCCGGAAGGGAGCCGCCGCUGGCAGAGUUCACCUGUCUCACAUGAAGAUCAUCACCCCACUUGAUGAACAUCUCAGAAGCAGGCCGAACGAUCCAAGCCACGCUCAGAAGCCCGUUGACAGUGGUGCCCCUCAUGCUGUCGUUCUUCAUGAUUUUCCGGCAGAGCAAGUUGAUGAUUUGAACCUCACCUCAGGAGAAAUUGUUUAUCUUCUGGAAAAAAUAGGUACAGAUUGGUACAGGGGGAAAUGUAGAAACCAGACUGGUGUAUUUCCUGCCACCUACGUCAAAGUGAUUACUGAUGUUCCAGGAGGAAACGGGAAAAGGGAAUCCGUCACAUCUCAUUGUGUUAAAGGCCCAAGAUGUGUUGCUCGAUUUGAGUAUAUUGGAGACCAGAAGGAUGAGUUAAGUUUCUCAGAGGGAGAAAUUAUUAUUCUUAAAGAGUAUGUGAAUGACGAGUGGGCGAGAGGAGAACUUCGAGAGAGAUCUGGGAUCUUCCCCCUUAACUUUGUGGAACUCAUUGAGGAUCAUCCCACCUCUGGUACAAAUGUUUUAAGCACAAAGGUACCACUGAAAACCAAAAAAGAAGAUUCUGGUGCAAAUUAUCAGGAGAACAGUCUUUCUGCAGAAUGGUGCGAAGCUCUUCACAGUUUCACAGCGGAGACCAGUGACGACUUGUCCUUCAAGAGAGGAGACCAGAUCCUGAUCAUGGAACGUGUGGACUCCGACUGGUACAAGGGCAGACUGCGCGACAGGGAGGGCAUCUUCCCCGCAGUCUUCGUGCGGCCCUGCCCAGCUGAGGCUAAAAGUACGGCUGCUUUAGCACUGAAGGGGAGGAAGGCCAAAGCCUUGUAUGAUUUCCACGGGGAGAAUGAAGAUGAGCUUUCCUUCAAGGCUGGAGACAUAAUAACAGAGCUGGAAUCUGUAGAUGAUGACUGGAUGAGUGGAGAAUUGAUGGGAAAAUCUGGAAUAUUUCCCAAAACCUACAUUCAGUUUUUACAAGUCGGCUAAAGUUACAGAGGGGGGAAAUACAAAGCCUAACUCAGAACAACACCACCAUCUAGGGGCUUUUCACCUAAUUGCAGUCUCAUCCUGUUAAACCACAGAAAAGUCUGAGGAUCAGAGCUCAACCUGCAGAGGUUAAAUGAUUUGCCUAAGGUCAUAAAGUUAUCCCUACUUUGACCUAGACCAUCUGUCCUGAUUAUCAUCCUGGAGGCAGCCAAGAUGAGAUGAUCCUUUUUGGGGGAUUGCCAUAUUCUGUGACCCAGUAAGGUAUGUAGUACAGGAGGUGAGGGUGACAAAGUCAGAAACCUUUUUAAAGCUCAAGAGUGCUAGAUAUCCGUGGAUGGUAGGCAGCUGUGAAACAGCCAUCAAAUACCCUAUGGGCUCAUUGCCAGGUGGCCUUUGUAACAAGAAGUGCUACAUUGCUAGAUUGCAAGUGGUCCGGAAAACUAAGAACAUGACACAUAUGACAUACUAGCUUGAAGGGCUGCAGUUGUGUGGCCACAGUCAGUUGAUCCGACUGGGACAGCAACAUUGUAACCUAAAAGUGUGUCAACAGUGCUGAGGCACCAUCAGCCACCCUGAAAGGUGACCAAAGGACCGGUGUAGUUAGUCCAUCAGUAGUCAGUCUGUGAUAUGGCCUCAACUACCUCAAGACAAAUGGGCUGACUUUUGGCAGGAGUCACAAGUCUGCCAUGCAUGAGGAAGAGUUCUUUACUGUGUGCACAGCCCAUGAUGGUGGACAUGUAGCCAUGUGUGAGGGCAGUCUGGGUGGUGCAGGCUUGAUCAGCACCUUGAUUUUACUAGGUCAUAUCAGAGAACUGGCCUUUACCACAGGCAUCUACAUGAGUGACCCAGAUGGUCCAACCAGCAGCCACAAUUUGUUCCCACAACAUACGGCCUCUAAAAGGGGUGUUUUAAUCUGCCUGAAUAGUCUUGGAAGUGGCAGGCCCAAGAGUCAGCAAAGGUGACUGUUCAUGACCAGACCUACGAGAACACCCCUGAGUUCAGCUCACUGAGCAGUGACCAACCACAUUCACUUUAGCUCUGUAUAGCUGGCGUUGAGGUUGGACAGCCACAGCAGCACAGUGGAUACCAUUAGCUUUUAACUUAGCUGAGCCACUGGUGAUUCAGGUCCAGGUACUUAAGGGUCUCUGUGAAGUGAGGGUCCCUUUGAGGCAGCAGCUAUGCUUCAGGUAAUGGGGUGGGAGACAGUUUUCCAAGAGUUUCUGAGGCUGGCACAUUCCAGAAAACACUAUUUUUACUUGACCAGGAAGGUCUCCAAUACCCAAAGCAUCCAACAAGGAGUCAGGCCUCCUUUCAGUCAAUCUCACGUUUAGCAAUGGAAGUGUAAUAGUACACUGGACUGGCCCAGAGGACCUCACACAUACAUAAAUACUCAUAAAAUAUUUAUUUCAUAAAUAACUUUUUCUUCAUUGUGAGUUUUGCUGAAACCCUAUCCAUGGGAUUUGAAUGCUUUAUUUCCUUAUUUACAGCAUGUGCCAGUAAGCUUUUUCUGUAAACGGCCAAGAGGCAAAAUUGAGGAUAUUACAUAAGCAUAAAGAGAGGAAACAAAUCUCUAUAAAAUUUCUAUUAAUGAAGUCAAACUAUGAUGAUUAUUGAGUAAAUUUUUUUCUAUAAUACAGACCUUUCUUUUGGGGAAGAGUAUAACAUUUCACCUAAUUAGGGUUCAAAGUUAGGGAUCCUCCAUCAUUAAAUCAAUUCACCUGGCAGCUUGGAGUCUAGGUUUUCAACUAUUUCUUCACAAUUUGAACACUUGAUGGUUGUCCCUUUUAAUUUAUUUGAAGUGCUAUUUUUUUAAAGAUUCAUCUGUACAUGCGAGAAAAAAACUGAUUCACCUGUUAAUGCUUAUGUGUAAUGAGAUUUUAUGUAUUACAUCUUUGAGGAUAUUUUCUUACACAGGUCAUAGAUGUGGCACUCAAAACGUGGAGUUAAGUCACUGCGAUUUGCAGUGUAGUGCAAAGUGAUGAGGGUACCACAUAUGGUCUGUCACAACUACUCAACUCUGCCACUGUAGUGCAAAAAGCAGCAACUGACAAUACAUGAAGAUGAAUGAAUGUGGCUGUCUUCCAAUAAAACUUUACUUGUGGAUACCGGAA